GUCGGAUACGGCGAUAUGUAUCCUCAAACUGUGAUCGGAAAGCUUGUUGGAGCCUGCUGCUGCAUAACCGGCGUCCUAGUUAUUGCCUUACCAAUUCCAAUCAUUGUUAAUAAC
rfam:Oikopleura dioica, whole genome shotgun assembly, reference scaffold set, scaffold scaffold_3